AGAGUUUGAUCAUGGCUCAGGAUGAACGCUGGCGGCGUGCCUAACACAUGCAAAGUCGAACGCCCUCGGCUUUUUCGGAAGCCGAGGGAGUGGCGGACGGGUGAGUAAGACAUGGGUGACCUAGCCCACAGUGAGGGAUACCGGCGAGAAAUCGCCGACAAGCCCGCAUAGGCUGGCUCUGGUGGAGCGGAGCGAGCAAAGGUUCUUUCGGGAGCCGCUGAGGGAUGGGCCUGUGGCCGAUUAGCUGGUUGGUGGGGUAAGAGCCUACCAAGGCGACGAUCGGUAGCUGGUCUGAGAGGACGAACAGCCACACUGGGAUUGAGAACGGCCCAGACUCCUACGGGGGGCAGCAGUGAGGAAUUUUCCGCAAUGGACGCAAGUCUGACGGAGCAACGCCGCGUGCAGGAGGACGCUUUUCGGAGUGUAAACUGCUUUUCUGUGGGACGAGGAUGGACGGUACCACAGGAAGAAGCCCCGGCUAACUACGUGCCAGCAGCCGCGGUAAUACGUAGGGGGCGAGCGUUGUCCGGAGUUACUGGGCGUAAAGGGCAUGCAGGCGGUCGGACGCGUUUGGUGUGACAGCGGAUGGCUUACCUAUCCGAGCAUACGAAAGACGGUUUGACUUGAGGACUCGAGAGGGACACGGAAUUCCGGGUGGAGUGGUGAAAUGCGUAGAGAUCCGGAGGAACACCGAAGGCGAAGGCAGUGUCCUGGCGAGUGACUGACGCUGAGGUGCGAAAGCCAGGGGAGCGAACGGGAUUAGAUACCCUAGUAGUCC
rnacentral:rRNA from 1 species